GGGGGCCCGCAAGCGGUGGAGCAUGUGGUUCAAUUCGACGCAACGCGAAGAACCUUACCUGGGCUCGAAGCACAGUGGACCGGGGUAGAAAUACCCCUUUUCGCAAGAACUGCUGUGGAGGUGCUGCAUGGCUGUCGUCAGCUCGUGUCGUGAGAUGUUGGGUUAAGUCCCGCAACGAGCGCAACCCUUAUCGUUAGUUGCCAGCGGGUUAUGCCGGGCACUCUAGCGAAACCGCCUCGGAUAACGGGGAGGAAGGUGGGGAUGACGUCAAGUCCUCAUGGCCUUUAUGUCCAGGGCUACACACGUGCUACAAUGGCCGGUACAAACCGUCGCAAACCCGCGAGGGGGAGCUAAUCGGAAAAAGCCGGCCUCAGUUCGGAUUGGAGUCUGCAACUCGACUCCAUGAAGCUGGAAUCGCUAGUAAUCGCGGAUCAGCACGCCGCGGUGAAUACGUUCCCGGGCCUUGUACACACC
rnacentral:rRNA from 1 species